AGAGGCAGGCAGAAUUUGAG
rnacentral:misc_RNA from 1 species